GCGGCUCAGUCAACUAUAUCGCUACCUCCGGAUCAAACCGUGUUCUAAAAAAGCGGCACCUAAACAUUUAUUUUUACAGUUUCUUGUGCAUAUACACAUAUUUUGUCAUAUUUUUAUUCGCGUGUGUUAUUAAGGACAUUAAUCAGAAUGAAUUGCAACAUUUUGUACUUCGUGUUUCUGUCAAUUAUCGGCUGUGCUUUCGGACAAAUAUCAAAUAACUUAGAUUUAGACACAUCUAAGCUAUCAAAAGAUAUGGAAACAAAUUUAAAGGAUCUGGGAAAGACAUUUCAAGAAAAUGGUGUUAACUUGCCAGAAUUAAAUGUGACAAGCGUGAAUGUAGAAAAGGUGGAACAAGUUUUAAGAGAAAAAUGCGAAAAACAAGGUGCUGGAGAUGUCGUAGACUCGAUUAAGGACAAACAAGAAGAAAUUAAAAACUGCGUUACUGAGAACGUCAACGUUACCCAAGUCCAGGAGGAAUUGGAAGAAGCGAAGAAAACUGGAUCAAUGGAUGUUGUGUUCGCAAAGUACUGCAAAAAAUGGCCGGAAAUAUACGAAUGUGUUGAGAAUGUUACAAGCGAGGUGCGUAGAUGUUUGAGCGAAACCGAGGAGAAAACCUUCAACAGAACGCUAACGAUUGUUAGCGAACUGCAAGAAUUUAUGUGCUAUAAGGAUGGAGAUCGUUUGGCAAUGUUUGUUGCUGAAGGAGGAGUUGAGUGCGUCGAAAAACAAAAGGAUGGCAUUCAAGACUGCUUAAAUGCGACAUUAAAAGAUAGGUUACCGUCAGAUGUAGAUGAAUUAUCUGUUGCAUCAUUGCCUGUGUUGGCUUUUAACCAAGAAACUUGCCAAGAUUUUGCCACAAUUCGUGACUGCGUCACAAACGUUUUGGAAAAGUGCGAGAAUACCACUCCGGCUAACAUAGUUGAUGCUUUCUUUAAAUUUUUGAAGAAACAAAUGCCCUGUGGAGAACCAGCGGUACAAACAGUUGCAGCCAGUCAGCAGCCUAAGAGCUCCGGCGUGAGUCUAAGCUCCUCCUUGGUCACCUUUGUCGUAAUGAUACUUUCCAGAUUUUAUUAAUUGAGUUUAUUACAUAUUUUUAUUUUAAAAAUUGAUAGGGCAUUUGAUUUGUUUGAUACUGUUCUUUUAGUUGAAUACAUACAUAUAAUAAUAUGUUAAAUUAUUAAAUAGAAACCAUACCAAAAACUAAUUAUGGCCAGCUUUUGUAUAGAUGGACUAAUUAAAAGAAAAUAAUAUGUAAUUUGUAUUAAUAAUAUAAACACAUUUGAACUUUUAAUGUUGCUUGACGUAAUCAAACACAUAAUUGUAAUUACAAAUUAAAAUGCCGGGUGCAUACUAAAAAUUCAAUCACAGGCACGAAAAACGGGCACUUUCAAAUUUUGAUAUAUUUUAGAGUUUAAUAGGUAUAUUUUGUUCUACUGGGCCGAUUUUGAUGAUUUUUUAAGCAAUUUGUAGACCUCUCUUCAGUCCUUCACCCUACGUGAGAGUAUGGUGACAUCAUGUCUUGAUUCCCCUCACUUCCUCGGACCAAGUUGUUCGACACUGCACCAUAUGUGAGGCUUCGGGGAGGUUGUGGCCCACUAGGGUUUUGAUUUGGUCUACCCACCUCUUAGGUGACCUUCCACGUGAUCGUCUUCCCUCUACCUUCCCUUCCAUCAGUCUCUCAAUUGACGUGCCACUCCUGGCAAUAUGGCCACAAUAUCGGAGGAUUGACUGAUUUAAUUUGGUAACCAGGCGUGUCUCAAUUUUUAGUUCUUCAAUAAUAGAAAUGUUUGUUCGACGAGCGGUUCAUGGUAUUCGCAGCAGCCGUCGAUCUACUCACAUCUCCAAGGUGUUUAUUCUUUGCUUAUCACGUUCCAUUAGUGUCCAUAUUUCAGAGCCAUACAUAGCUAUGGAGAAAAUGGGGGAGUUUGUAAUGCGCAGUUUAGUUUUCCGUUUGAUUACUGAAGUUUUCCAUAUCUUAGGCUAAGAACAUAGUGAAGCGACGAGGAUAGCGGCAAGCAAGCCUCGAGGUGCUGAAACAUAGUAGAUCGGCGAGGAAUAGCGAGGUACUUGUGCAAAUUUAUUAUUUUCAUUUGCUUAUUGAUAAUUUAAAAUGUUAACAGUGGCAAAAAUUAUGGGCAGUAGUGUCGCAAACAUUUGGUUACAUGAAAUUUUCAAAAACCGGAGAAAGUGUGGCAAGUUUUAUAACCUUCACGAAAAUUUGUGGCCACUUCAUCUCAUAACUUAUCUAAAAUGUACCGGUUAUAGUGAUUACUAUCUUUCUGAUCCCAUAAAAUCUCUCUUACAAGUACUAAAUCUGUUAAUUUUUGGGAAUCUAUCAUUUUCUACAGCGCGACAGGGCCACGAAAACAAAAUUAUUUGAAUCGAUCUCACCGCUCGAUCUAACCGCUCGAGCAGAUCGCUUUACUACGUUCGGACGUACUUGUCUUCACAGGUUUGUUUUGAACGCAAUGUCGCGUUGCUUGCUCGCCGCUAUCCUCGUCGCUCCACUAUGUUCUUAGCCUUAGUCAGCUUUGUUGUUGCAUUCCUUGCCAUUGCAACUCUGCGCUUGAUUUCAGCCUCGCACCCUCCAGAGUUUGCUAUCGUGGAACCUAAAUAGUUGAACUGGCUCACAACCUUGUAUCCAGCCACGAUUCGGACAUCAGGUUGGUUGUUGCGGAGGCGGUCAAUCAUCGUCUUGGUUUUCCGUUUGCUUAGUUCCAAGCCAUAUUCUUUACUAAUAGAGCACAGUACAGCCAUAACUUCCUGCAACUCUUCUUUGCUGGCGGCUAUAAUUACGGCUAUAAUCAUCCGCGUAUCUCAGGUUAUUUAUCCUCCUGCCCCCAUGGAUAUCCCAACGUUCCAUUUUUCUAUUACUCGACGCAUGAUAUAUUCAGUGUAGAUAUUAAACAGGAUUGGCGAGAGUAUACAUCCCUGCAGGGCCGCGCCGACCCCUGGCAAAACCUAUGAUGCGCCUUUUUUGUCGUCUUUAUUCGACAUGACAUUUUUUUAUUUUUAAUAUUUGGACUGAAAUAUGUUCUGCAGUUUUAUAUAAUUUUUAAAUAUAUUAUUUUCCUAAAUAUGUAAAAACGGUGCGCUUCCGCUUGUCAAUUACUACCAUUUAUAGUAUGGCCAUCGUGCUCAUAAUCAACUCUUUGGAGUUUUACGACCUCUGGAUCUCUGGAUCAGGAAGUUUAAAAUUCAGCUUCGACAUUUAACUUUUUGGCAAUUUACAUGGUAUCAUUUACAAAAUUUGUGAAAAUUUUUGUCGGUUCUAAUUUCUAUCAAAAACUUCUUUAAUUCCGUUUAAGCAUCUAAAGCUUCUUGCAUAUUCAUAUCGAUGGAUUGUUGACUUGCUUUCACAAAAUUUACUGUUGUCAAUAAUAUAUGUCAUGCCUAUACAUUUAGUAAAGAAAUAAAUGAAAAAGUACAUAUUUUUUCUGAAAUUAGACAUUUAGCAACAAAAUAAAAGACUAAUUCACCACAAUUCACCUAAGCACUUUACUUUUCCACUGAACGCGCCUUUCACUAAUCAUGUUCAUUAAGCAUCAUCAGCAGAUUAUUAUUAAAACUGACGCGUCCAGUGCAAAAGUUAAGUGUUUGAUAUACUGUGGUGAAUUAGGGUUUUAUAUUGCUGUUGUAACACCAAAGGCUCUAAGUAUAAUAAACAUUUAGCGUCAUAUUUUUUCUUCUGAUCGAAUGAUGCAGGUGCCAUUUGAUAUAUCAUACCUAUAAGGAAUACAUUUGGGAUAAAUUUGUAUACCAAUUUUUGUUUUAUUUUCAUUUUGCUUGACCAUCUGUUUUCGGAUAAUGGUUUUAAGGUUAGAUUUAAAAUAUAUUUUUUUAAUAAAUCCCAUCUUUUGAUAGAGGACGAAAAAUAUCUAUAUAAUUUUUGCACAAUGCUAAAUAAUCCAGUCGUAAUAAUUGAGGUUGACAGUGUCCUUUACUGCUAGCGAAGGGUAUAUGUAUAUAAAAAGCGCGAGGUUUAGACCCAGUAAAUUUUUUUUGAAGACCAUUGUUCUUACCGAGCAUAUUUUAAGACCCACAUUCAUUUUUUUAGUUCUUCUACGAGUAUUAUAAACGAUGUUAAGCCAGCGCCAUCUGUAUAGAUAAUCAUACAAAACGCUAGAAAAUGCUUUCCUAUUUUAAACAUUUUAGUUUCUGUGUUAAAACUGACAAAUCUUAUAAUGUUACAAAUUUGCUCUAGGUACGUGUCAGCAGUGCAUUCAGCAGUACAACUCAGUAUUAUUUAAAAAAUGGCGCUGGCACUUCAUCCGGCGCCCCUAUUGCUAUAGCGCCUGUGUGCGCCGCAUACUUCGCACACAUGGGCGGCUCGGCCCCGCAUCCCUGUCUCACACUUGCGUUUCUCUUGAAACCAUUCGAUAACGUGUUAAUUUGUAGAUACAUUAUUUGAAUUUUUAGUAUCUCUUUCUAAAUUAAAAGUUAAAAUUUCCAUCUGUCAUUUGGGGGGAAAACAAAAUGUUGAUGUUAACAAAGCAAGGAAUUUAAAAACUAUUUUAUCAUCUUGGCGCGUCUUUUUCAUUAGUUUGUUUUUUCAUUCAUCUCAUUAGUUUUGUUUUUAUUGGAUACAUUCGCUUUUGAAUAAGACAGUAACUAUUUACAGCAAUGAUGGCAUUGUUUUUAGGUCUUCAUCAACACACUUAUAAAAUAGAGUGUAUUGUUUUGGUAAUAUCACUAUCAUUGAAAAGUCAUAUUACUAUUGUUUACUGACGUUUACUCUAGAAGAGAUUGUUUUAAGUUUUGAAGCAUCGGCUGUUGUUGCCUUAAUUGAUUCUGGUAGAGAUCAACUUUUGGACUUAAAACCAAUCUGCUAGAGUAACUGCCCAACAGACAACAAUAAUUCAAUUUUUGAAAGACAAUCACAUUACAUAAAUCAUAAACACUAUUUUAUAGGUCUGUUUUCUAGGAGUAAAAGCAAAGGCGUGGUUUUAAUG
rnacentral:misc_RNA from 1 species